CGACCUCGUUGUGGGUACGUCUACCCGCAAUUCAAAUUCAAAUUAAGAUAUUAAUAUAAUAAAUCUUACUUUGAAAAUAUAUGAAUUCAAGAGAUGAGAAAUAAAAUCCCAUAAACCCUAAGUUUGUUCUUGACUCUAGCACCUCCAAAAACCUUGAUCAAAUAUUGAUCAAGUCACCAAUAAUGCCGCUUCAAUUCACCUGUUAUUGCUACUUCCUUGCACGACCUCCUUGUCUCAAGUCUUUCACCCGGCUGAAUUAAUCUCUAGCGCAUACUUAUUG
rnacentral:lncRNA from 1 species